rnacentral:rRNA from 1 species
UGGGGAAUAUUGGACAAUGGGGGCAACCCUGAUCCAGCAAUGCCGCGUGUGUGAAGAAGGUCUUCGGAUUGUAAAGCACUUUCGACGGGGACGAUGAUGACGGUACCCGUAGAAGAAGCCCCGGCUAACUUCGUGCCAGCAGCCGCGGUAAUACGAAGGGGGCUAGCGUUGCUCGGAAUGACUGGGCGUAAAGGGCGUGUAGGCGGUUUACACAGUCAGAUGUGAAAUCCCCGGGCUUAACCUGGGAGC